rnacentral:rRNA from 1 species
UGCAGUCGAGCGAAUGGAUUAAGAGCUUGCUCUUAUGAAGUUAGCGGCGGACGGGUGAGUAACACGUGGGUAACCUGCCCAUAAGACUGGGAUAACUCCGGGAAACCGGGGCUAAUACCGGAUAACAUUUUGAACCGCAUGGUUCGAAAUUGAAAGGCGGCUUCGGCUGUCACUUAUGGAUGGACCCGCGUCGCAUUAGCUAGUUGGUGAGGUAACGGCUCACCAAGGCAACGAUGCGUAGCCGACCUGAGAGGGUGAUCGGCCACACUGGGACUGAGACACGGCCCAGACUCCUACGGGAGGCAGCAGUAGGGAAUCUUCCGCAAUGGACGAAAGUCUGACGGAGCAACGCCGCGUGAGUGAUGAAGGCUUUCGGGUCGUAAAACUCUGUUGUUAGGGAAGAACAAGUGCUAGUUGAAUAAGCUGGCACCUUGACGGUACCUAACCAGAAAGCCACGGCUAACUACGUGCCAGCAGCCGCGGUAAUACGUAGGUGGCAAGCGUUAUCCGGAAUUAUUGGGCGUAAAGCGCGCGCAGGUGGUUUCUUAAGUCUGAUGUGAAAGCCCACGGCUCAACCGUGGAGGGUCAUUGGAAACUGGGAGACUUGAGUGCAGAAGAGGAAAGUGGAAUUCCAUGUGUAGCGGUGAAAUGCGUAGAGAUAUGGAGGAACACCAGUGGCGAAGGCGACUUUCUGGUCUGUAACUGACACUGAGGCGCGAAAGCGUGGGGAGCAAACAGGAUUAGAUACCCU